GAUAAACGCUGGCGGCGUGCAUAACACAUGCAAGUCGAACGAAGUGGCGAACGGGUGAGGAACACGUGAGUAACCUGCCUUACACAAGGGGAUAGCCUUUGGAAACGAAGAAUAAUACCCUAUAGUGUAAGAUGGACUUGCGUUGGAUUAGCUAGUUGGUGAGAUAAAAGCCCACCAAGGCGACGAUCAGUAGCCGGCUUGAUAGAGUGUACGACAACAUUGAGACUGAGACACGUCCGAAACUCUACGGGAGGCAGCAGUGGGGAAUUUUGCACAAUGGGGGAAACCCUGAUGCAGCGGCGCCGCGUGAUUUAGAAGGCGUUCGGGUUGUAAAAAUCUUUUUUAUGGGAUGCAGUACCAUAAGAAUAAGGUCCGGCUAAAUACGUGCCAGCAGCCGCGGUAAUAC
rnacentral:rRNA from 1 species